rnacentral:rRNA from 1 species
GUCGAGCGGUAGCACAAGAGAGCUUGCUCUCUGGGUGACGAGCGGCGGACGGGUGAGUAAUGUCUGGGAAACUGCCUGAUGGAGGGGGAUAACUACUGGAAACGGUAGCUAAUACCGCAUAACGUCGCAAGACCAAAGAGGGGGACCUUCGGGCCUCUUGCCAUCAGAUGUGCCCAGAUGGGAUUAGCUAGUAGGUGGGGUAAUGGCUCACCUAGGCGACGAUCCCUAGCUGGUCUGAGAGGAUGACCAGCCACACUGGAACUGAGACACGGUCCAGACUCCUACGGGAGGCAGCAGUGGGGAAUAUUGCACAAUGGGCGCAAGCCUGAUGCAGCCAUGCCGCGUGUGUGAAGAAGGCCUUCGGGUUGUAAAGCACUUUCAGCGAGGAGGAAGGUGGUGAGCUUAAUACGCUCAUCAAUUGACGUUACUCGCAGAAGAAGCACCGGCUAACUCCGUGCCAGCAGCCGCGGUAAUACGGAGGGUGCAAGCGUUAAUCGGAAUUACUGGGCGUAAAGCGCACGCAGGCGGUUUGUUAAGUCAGAUGUGAAAUCCCCGGGCUCAACCUGGGAACUGCAUUUGAAACUGGCAAGCUAGAGUCUCGUAGAGGGGGGUAGAAUUCCAGGUGUAGCGGUGAAAUGCGUAGAGAUCUGGAGGAAUACCGGUGGCGAAGGCGGCCCCCUGGACGA